UUGCAAGUUUUUAGACAAAAUCCGGUGACCAGACGACUUUCACAGACCAAGUGCCUCUGAUAUCACCUUAACAGCCAUUCGGCGGUCACUGAAAAUAACACAUGCAGGCAAUCGAUAU
rnacentral:lncRNA from 1 species